GACGAACGCUGGCGGCGUGCUUAACACAUGCAAGUCGAACGAUGAAGCCUUUCGGGGUGGAUUAGUGGCGAACGGGUGAGUAACACGUGGGUAAUCUGCCCUGCACUCUGGGAUAAGCCCGGGAAACUGGGUCUAAUACCGGAUAUGACUUUCUUACGCAUGUAGGAAGGUGGAAAGUUCCGGCGGUGCAGGAUGAACCCGCGGCCUAUCAGCUUGUUGGUGGGGUAAGUGGCCUACCAAGGCGACGACGGGUAGCCGGCCUGAGAGGCGACCGGUCACACUGGGACUGAGACACGGCCCAGACUCCCACGGGUAGGCAGCAGUGGGGAAUAUUGCACAAUGGGCGAAAGCCUGAUGCAGCGACGCCGCGUGAGGGAUGACGGCCU
rnacentral:rRNA from 1 species